rnacentral:lncRNA from 1 species
UAUGACUCUACAUUUUACCACAUAAUUAUCUGUGCGGGCGCUACAGAUUAACAUUUUUGUUUAUUCCUGCAAAUAAAUCUUGUUGUAGUAAAAUAAAUCUACAACAACAACAUGGUAAUAAGGCACAAAGACCUUGAUUAACUCCCAGCCCAUCACAACUCACAAGCCUGUGUGUCUGCAUCUAGAGACAGACAAUUAACAAGGCCAAACAAGAAGAAGCUAGAAUGGCUAUCAGCAUUUUGGCCAGUCAUAGCAUGUCUAGCCAUUAAUUAUUCAUGUGCACACGAAUCAAAAUUAUUGCAAAAAAGAAGACGAUAGUUCCGCAUGUAAGAAAAAAAAAAAACAGCUAGCCGCCACGGAUAGAUAUUUUCAUAGGAGUGAAAACAAAUAGUAAACCAACAUAAUAUCCUGGGAAAUAUUAUGGAAGCAAUGCACGUGUGAUCACUACUUCUUAAUGCCGUUUUAGAGAUACAACAAGACAAUCAUCGGCGAUCAGAUUAACCUGCGUUUUUUGGAAGCAAUGCACGUGUGAUCACUACUCCAAGGAACAAAUAAUGCUUUUCUUUAGCUCUCUCUUUGAGAUCUGAGACGUUCUUUUUUCUGAUCAUUAGCUAGGAGAUCUAGCCGAAAAAGGUAAUUUACUUGGUUAGAGACGGAGCAUCCAACAGAGUGCAAUACCAUCACAUAGCAAAAACUUGUCAUAGCAAAUAUGGGCUCAAAACAAAGAAAAGCAAAGCUCGCCAGCUGCUGAAUCAACCACUGAAC